GGAGCGGUGGACCAACUUGUAAACUUCUUUGGUAUGCAGCCCUGUGAGAGGAGUGACAGAGUGCCUGAAGACAAGACUGCACACACUUUACUUCUUGCUGGACAAUAUAAAGAUGGUGUGGAAUGUUUGAUAAAAACCAGGAUUGUAUUUGACGGAGUUAUCAAUAUGAAGAUAUCUGCUCGAUCUCUUGAUCCCGCACUUAACGAACUUCUGGUGUCUUCUAUUUAAUUUAGGGGGUUUCAUUAUUAGUCAAUUGUGAACAAAGAUGUAGUGUUUAUAUUUCUAGCAUGGGUUUGAUUCACCCUAACAACAUUCUAUGCAGAACUUUCCUAAUUUUCAUUUUAAAAGACUUUUUUCAACGGGAUACGUCAGUAUUAGUAUGACUAUGUAUUGUAAUUUUGCUUAAUUGUAUACAUUUUAAAUCACAGUUACGAAAAAUAA